rnacentral:tRNA from 1 species
GUGACUGUAGCUCAGUUGGUAGAGUACCAGGUUGUGGCCCUGGGUGCCGUGGGUUCGAGCCCCAUCAGUCACC